rnacentral:lncRNA from 1 species
AAAACAUAUAAACAAACAAAUUAGUAACAUAAUGUUAUACACGGACUUAUUCUUGGGUUCACCCCCUAGAGUGAACCUCUAGGUUCACCAACCCAUAGAAUUGUGUUAUUUAAUAUUCGAUAUCUUUUAAAAAGGAACAAAAUAUUGUCAAAUUCUAUUAUAUUUUAAAAAUUAAAAGAUAAAAAGAAAUAAAUAAAAAAUAGUAGUAAUUACAAAAAAAAACGUCAGCAAAACAUUAAACCCUAAUUCCUAAUCCCUAAACCCUAAAUCAUAAAUCCUAAACCCUUGGAUAAACCCAAAACUCUAGGAUAAAUCUUAAACUCUAAAUCAAAAUCACUAAACACUAAAACACUCAAGGGUGGGUUUAGAGUUUUAGGGUUUAGUGUUUUUAUUUAGAGUUUAGGAUUUAUCCAAUGGUUUAGAAUUUACCCAAGGGUUUAAAGUUUAUCCAAGGAUUUAGGGUUUAUCCAAGGGUUUAAGGUUUAGGAUUUAGGGUUUAGGGAUUAGGAUUUAGGGUUUAGUGUUUUGCUGACGACGUUAAAAAUAUUUUUUUAAUUUUUUUUUCUGUAACUACUUUUUUUUUUUACUUUUUUUUUAAGAACAUAAUAUAACUUGACAAUAUUUUGUUUCCUUCUUUUAAAAGAUAUCGAAUUUGAAAUAAUGAAAUCCUAUUGGUUGAUAAACUUAGAGGUUCACCCCCUAAAAUAACUCUUGUCUAUUUUUUUCCCCUGAUCAACAUAGUGAAAAGACCUUUAAAAUUGUUUCUGUAUUAGUAAUAAGGAGAUAUAAUGGUCUCUAUAUUUUCUUUUGUUCACUAUAAUUGUCUCUAUAUUUUAAUCGUUUAAGAAGAGGUAAGCGUAAACGGUAAAUCUGUAAAAGCUCAUCUCCAAUGGUGUACUCUAUUUUUCCCUAUAAAAUAGAGUAACUAUAUAAUAAAAUGGGUUGUUGCUGCAAUGAUACUCUAAAUAUAGCGUAAAUUUAUUAUUUAUUCUAUUAUAAAAUAGAAAAU